UUUUUUUUUUUUUUUUUUUUUUUUUUAAAUCUGUGGUCUGUGUACCUUUGACUUGAGAAGAGAAUGGCUUAGACAAGUCCUGCAACUUCAUCUCCAGGCUUGCCUCUCUCUUGGCUGGGGCUACAUUGGGUACCCUGGAAGCCAAAUGGGUUAAAGCUUAUAUAGAAAAGGUGGGGGACAGGAAUCAAGAUUAAAGGGGAUAAGCAGCAACUGUAUGGCAAGAAGAGGGUGGAAAAGACAGGCAGACUACUGAACUGCUGAGUGAUUCUAUUUGCAAGAUCAAAGAAUAUUCUUAGUUGGUAGGUGAUAUGGGAAAAAUUACAUGUAAAAAUACUGGAUUCCAUUUUCUUAAGAAAAUCUAUAUAGUCUUAAAAAAUCACAAACAAAAAUAGUACAGAAUAGUGGAAAAGCACAUGGGCUCUGGAUACAGACUGCAUGGGUAUGUAGCUCAGUUCCACCAGUAAUUGAGUCACCUUGGGCAAAUUACUUAACUUCUCUGUGCCUCCUCAGUUUAUGUAACUACAAAAUGGAGUCAGUAACAACUCGUUAAAAUGUUGUUAAGAAUUAAAUGCAUUAAUUCGUGUAAUGUGGAUACAAAAUUGCUAUUAUUUUCAAAAUAAAGACCUGCAACUAAGUGUUCUUAUGUAUCUUUUACAAAUAUAAAUCUGAUCAUCUUUGUGAAGGCAUUCUCCUCAGAUAAAAAUCCAGAAGUCCUAAGUAUGGCUCCCAAGAUCUUUGAUCUAGACCUCAGUCAGAAAAAACAACUUGCAGUUUCCUCUUAAAACCCUGCUCUUUCAUAGGUCUGCACUUUUGCUUCUGCUGCUUCCUUUGCUUGAAGGCUUCUACUCAUUUCUCAAUAUUUAGCUCAAGCACAGCAUCCUUGGGGAUGUCUUCUAGGAGCUUCCUAGCAGUCGUAAGUGUCCCAUUUCUGUUUUGUCUGUUCCUACCUCUAUCACCACACUGAGAAUACUGCCUUUUAGUUGUCUGUUUACUUAUCUCUAUUUCCCACUGGACUGGAGCCUACACAUUCAUUCGUUUGACCAAUAUUUACCAAGUCUGUACUCUGUUCUAGGUACUGGAGAACGAGUGCUACACAAAAUCCUGCCUCGUGGCAGGAUUUCUGCCUGGCACUUGACUGCAUGGAUAUAAGUACAGAUAGAAGAACAGAAGAAGGAACACACACAAAACAGCAACCAUAAAUAGUAGCUACUCCACACGGCAUGUGUCCCUGUGUAGCUCUAGCAUUUUAAGUUGGUUCAUCACAGAAGUUUCCUCUCUAAAUUUGAGUUAUCAGCAAGUCAGAGAAAGGGACCUGAUGGUGAUUGUGACAGCUUUCUUUCACUUUUCUACUUUUAAAAAAAAAAAAAUUUUAUUAUUGAAAUUUGUGCUUUGCACUUUGUCAUUUUUGGAUUCUUCAAGGCUAUAAAUGACUUUGUCAGCGGUUCCAUUACACCUAAGAUUAACACUAUUCUUUUAGCUACUCACCAAGUCCCUGGAAGCUUUCUGUGUGUCUGCCUUGUAAUGAUGAGAAUAGCUCAUUUUUGUGUCUUUCAUGGAACUUUUCAUUGAUUGUUUAGUUUAUUUAGUUUUAUUUAAAAUUUAUUUAAAAUUUUUUAUAAAAUGAAAAAGUAAUAGAUGCUCAUUAUAAUAAACUCAAAUAAUAAAGAAGUACAUAUGACAAAAAACAUUACCUUUUUCCCUCUAAUUCCCUCCGUCCCAGUACCUCUUCCAUCUCAAGGUAACCACUGUUAAUCGUUUGAUACUCAUCCUUCCAUAUAUUUUUCUUUAUGUUUAAAUCAAAUGGUAAUCACAUAAAAACCAUUCUGCAACUUGCAUUUUCCUCUGUAACAAUACACUACAGUUGCAUUUCCAAGGCAGUACAACUAUAGAUCUAGUUCAUUAUUUUUAAUAAUUACAGGGCAUUCCUUUGUGGUUAUUCAGCAGUUUGUCAUUCCUUUCUUGAUGCACACUUCAAUUUGAUCUGAUUUUUUGAUCUUACAACUAGUAUUAUAGUCUUUUAUAAAUCGUUGAGCACAUGGUUAAGUACUUCUGGAGAGUAGAUUUCUCUAAGUAACAGAGAGCACACAUUUUAAACUUUUGGUAAAUACUGCUGAACUGCCUACACUCAAAGGAUGUACAAUUUACCUGUUUCUAAAUAUUCUCAGCAACACUGCAUUACCUAUCUUUAAAAAUUUUUUUUGUUAGCUUAACAAAAAGAAUCUGUCAUUGUUGUAACUGCAUUUAGCUUGAUGCCUUAACUAACAUUUAACAUUUUCUCAUAGUUGUUCACUAUAUUAAUCUGUGAUUUGUUUGUUCAUGUCUUUUGUCCAUGUUUUUCCUACUAAUAUGAAGGAGCACUUUAUACAUUAUAAAUAUUAAACAUAAAUUGAAGUUUGCCUUUGGCCACAGGAUUCAGCCGAAAUCUGCUUUAGUGUUUGGAAAACUGAACAGACAGAUGCCUCCUUCGAUGUCAUUUCCAGCUUUACCGAACUCAUGGAGAUCAAAGAUCAUGUAAGUUACCAUCAUAUUUAUUUAUCUUAUUUUAAUUUUUUAAAAAAUAUUUUAUUUACUCAUGAGAGACACAGAGGGAGGCAGAGACAUAGGCAGAGGAGAAACAGGCUCCCUGCAGGGAGCCUGAUGCAGGACUCAAUCCCAGGACCCAGGAUCACGCCCUGAGCUGAAGGCAGACAACUACACUGAGCCACCCAGGCGUCCCAGUUACCAUCAUACUUAAUAAGCUUGAUACGUUGCAUCAUUUGUACUUAAUGCUACUAUCUGAAUACCAGUUUUAAAAAUAUUGGUAAGCAUUAAGGCCAAAGAUAAACACUGUGACAUACAAGGAAAUAAUUUGGAACUGCUUUCUCAGGUAUUCAAACAAAUGUUCAAAGUGAGAUAGAAGAGCAGCUACCAUAGGUGAAAAAGCUGCUGGAACAAAAUGGGUCUUCAUAUUGUCAGCUGCAUAAACUAACACGAGAAAGGUAACGGCCAAUGGCUGUUGUCAGGGAAAGUAGCACAUCCAGUGAUUGUGGAAAGCAGCAAGCAAAUGUAAAAAUAUUAGAAAUUAAAAUGUGAGGGAAAAACCCUUAUGUUUGCUUCUUAAAUAUUUACAUAGUGUUUUCUUUAAGCACUGCACAGUUUCAGUUCAUGGGAGCACUUCAAUGACACUGCAACACCACUACCAGCCAGAUCUUCCAGUCUGGGAGUUUAGAAGGUAAGUCUUUAUCUUUGUAUCAGAGGAAAAGUAAAGUUUACUGAUCUGAUAGCAAAAUCUCCAUUAACAGUGACCCACAAUGGCAUAAAUAAGCCUCCCCUCCUAAUUCAUGCUUUUCAUCAAGUGAGACAAAUAUUACAGAGGAGCCAUCUAGUAGCUGGCAGUGGUGAAAAAUUAAAUUAUGCCAUAAUGACAAACUUUAAAUUUAAACAUCCUGAAUUUUCAGUAGUAAAAUGAUAAUAUUACUUCAAUUCUUAAAAUAAAAUUUCAUAUUCACUGUUGUGUCUAAGAAGAUCAUUUUAUGAUAGGAAUUAUCAGCCUUGCUUAGGCUGCUCAUGGAUUUUAACACUGGCUGUUCAGUAUUCAGCCAAAAUAAAUUUAGUGCACCUCUAAUAACAGUAUUUAUCCAUUAUAUGUGGAGAAAGUAUUUUCUCUCAGUGUACCAUUUGUCCUUUAACCUAAGUUUAUAAUGCCCCUUGCCCUAUAUAAAUUUAAAAUUUUAAAAAGUCAAUCUUUCCUUAACAUUUUCUGGUUUGACAUCAUGUCUAUUUAUUUAUUUAUUUAGAUUUUUAAAAUUUUUAUUUAUUUAUGAUAGUCAGAGAGAGAGAGAGGCAGAGACAUAGGCAGAGGGAGAGGCAGGCUCCAUGCAGGGAGCCUGAUGUGGGACUCGAUCCUGGGUCUCCAGGAUCACGCCCCGGGCCAAAGGCAGGCGCCAAACCGCUGCGCCACCCAGGGAUCCCGACAUUAUGUCUAUUUAAAAGGCCUUCUUCAUUCACUCCAGUGUUUUAGAAAUAUUCCCUUAUAUUUACACAUAGUAACUUUUAUGAGCAAUGCUAGCUUUAUAAUACACAAAAUUCCUAUACAUAUCUGGAUCUGAUUCUGUGCAGAUGUUCUUUCGAUAGAUUAAUUUGUCUUUUGCUUCAUUGUUCGUCCUCCUUUUCUCACUAUAGUUUUAUAGUAUGUUUUGAUAUCUGGUAGGGUAAAUUGUUACCCUUUCCUACUUUUUUCCUUCACUAUUUGAAGACUCCUAAUCUUGAUGAGGUUAAGACUUGGAGCAUUUAAAGCUAUUCCACCCCAUGGGUAUAGGAAUCUUAUGUUUCUUUUGAAGAAUGUUAUCAAGAUUUAGGAAUAUCUGAAUUCCUCUGGGUCUACUAAUUAAAAAUCAAGUGAGUAGGACAUAGUUAAGGUUUUUGUAUUUUGGAAUGCAGGGGAACCGGACUACUAAUUAUAGGCCUAAUCCAAACCAGAAAGAUUGUUAAGUACCCUGAGAAGACACACACAGACACACAGACACAGACACACACACACACACUUGUGUGUGCACAUGCGUGCAUGUGUUUGUGAGUGUGAGACUGCGACUCAAAGUGAUUUAGGAGAAAAAUGAUCAUGUCCAUGAUAUAAACCAAACGGUGGAUAUUAGUAAACUAGACUUAAAUUUGAGAAUGCUAAAUAGAACUGCAUACAAUUCUAGAAAGAUAUGCUGUUACUCCAGAAUUAAUAACUAGUGAAGCUAAAAGAAGUACUGAGUAUCCCAAAUUCUAAAGAGACCAUCAAUACCUUCCAUAGGACUUUUUAAGAGAAGAUGAGCUGGCUCUCAUAGACCCAGAUAUCUGUCAUAAAAUAUGGGAAAGAAAAGAAAGAAGGUUUUUGGGAAAACUGAGCUACCACCUUGGGAGUGUGGUGUGUUGUGGAGGGGCUUCUCUUCUUUCCCUCCUCCUUAGCACCACAAAAAGGAGAAGAGGAUGACUUUUCUUCUCUCAAGAUCAUGCAAAGGGGUAACAAGAGACCCACCUAGUAAAGACUGAGGUGUCUGCAAGAAGCAGACUGGAGUGUCAUCCCUGGCCAGAGAUUUAAACCAGGUGUGAGCUGCUUAAACAGCUUACCUUCUGAUUUGCCCCUUGACUACCUGAUUAGAGAGAGGGAGCACCAAGGAAGUGGUCUGUCUAUAUUGUCCCUAUCUUAUCAGUGUCCUAUCAAGAUGGCAGCUCCCCAAAGAAGGGGACCCCAGUAACUAAGAGGCUCUUAGGAAAAAUGCUAUGUGAGAGGGGCAGUGGUAUUCUGGAACCAGCUUGCAAACAAUUUUUAAGUUUUUAGGAAUUUAAAUACAGUCAUUAUUAAAAAUUAAAGUUAAAAUUAAAUAAAUUAUUUAUAAAAAACUCAUCUAAUUUCAUAUUCACUGUUGUGUCUAAGAAGAUCAUUUUAUGAUAGGAAUUAUCAGCCUCGCUUAGGCUGCUCAUUGAUUUUAACACUGGCUGUUCAGUAUUCAGCCAAAAUAAAUUUAGUGCACCUCUAAUUACAGUAUUUAUCCAUUAUAUGUGGAGGAAGUAUUUUCUCUCAGUGUAUCAUUUGUCCUUUAACCUAAGUUUAUAAUGCCCCUUGCCCUACAAUUUAGGACUUGGGUUUACUGUUUUGUUGAAUGUCUGGAGUUAAGAAAAGUCAUGGAUAAAAUGCUAAUAAUGCAGAUUAAACUUAAAAGUAUAGCAUGUCUAGAGUUUUUACAUUGUGAAUAGCAUAAAAACUGGAGGAUAUAUUCUUCCAGUAUUUGAACCUAAUUCAGCAAAGAAGUUGCUUAUGACACUAACAAGUGAGAUUCCAACAGUCUUCUUCUUCUUCUUCUUUCUUUUUUUAUAAAGAUUCCAUUUACUUAUUCAUGAGAGACAGCGAGAGAGAGGCAGAGACACAGGCAGAGGCAGAAGCAGGCUCCAUGCAGAGAGCCUGAUGUGGGACUCUAUCUCGGGUCUCCAGGAUCACGCCCAGAGCCAAAGGCAGGCGCCAAACCACUGAGCCACCCAGGGAUCCCCUUCAUUUCAUUUUUGUCUUAGUUUUUAAAUGAAAAUAUCAUCUAUUUUUUAUGUUAGAACUAUACUCAUUUGUCAGUCGCAACCACAGGACGGCUACAGAUUUUGGUAAAAAUCACGGACUCACUUCUGGGAGAAUAAAAUGACUAUAGGAAACUUACAUUAAAGAGUACUGUAUAUUUUAAUAUCUGUAAAUUGUGUGCUACACAUUCUUUACAUCAGUAAAAUGUAUAAUAACUUUAUGUACGUGCAUAUACACAUGCCACAUACCACCACUCCACUCCUGCCACUAGCCAGUUGUUAAAUAUUUAAUGGAACACCACAAAAGAAGGUGUUAUUAGGAGGCUGAGCCAGGGCUGGGUCUUCUAUAUCAAGGCACACUGGGCAGUGAGCUCUCUAAAUUAUCCAUGUGAAACAGCAUUUGACACCUGUCACUCAGAGGGCAUGGAUGGCAAGAUGGUGCUUGCCAAAGAAGCUGGGAAGAUAAUAACCAUGGGACACUGUUCUCAUUUAUUACCUAGCCUCGAACUUCUUGGGGGUUAGGCCUUGAAAAGGGAGGAGAAGGCAGUAUCUGAGAACCAGACCAUGUUCCAUCCACCUGGAUGGGAAUGAAGGAGGAAAUUAGAUUUAAAUCAGGUAUGAGAGGGGAAUUUUUUUUUUAAAGAUUUUAUUUUUUAAAUAGUCUAUUUAUUUAUUCAUGAGAGAGACAGUGAGAGAGAGAGAGAGAGAGAGAGAGAGAGGUAGAGACACAGGCAGGAGGAGAAACAGGCUCCAUGCAGGGAGCCUGAUGUGGGACUCAAUCCCGGGACUCCAGGAUCACGCCCUGGGCCAAAUGCAGGCACUAAAUCGCUGAGCCAUCCAGGGAUCCCCCGAGAGGGGAGUUUAAAAAUGGACCAGAUUCACCAUCCAAUAACUGAAAGUGACCUGGAUGCUAUGAGAUUUGCUAAAUAUUAUUAAGGAACAGAAAAGCAAGAUUCAACAAAACAAGGCCUAAGGCAGUGAUGGGAAAAAAUUAAAACCAUUCCAUACUAAUGUCCAAUGAAUUGAAACUGCUCAAUAAACAAUACAAAAUAUACACUGGCUAUAAUCUAAAGUAUACUGUUGAUAAAGUAUCUUUAAAAAUUUAAAAGCUCAUCCUUUAAGUCUACACUGCAGUGCUAUGCACAUUAAAUCAAUGUGUAUUUUGAAAUAUAAAGCAUUCUGUUAGAAUAGACUCCUUUAAAAAACAGCACAGAUGGUGCAUUCCUACUGAGAAGCCACUAGGUUACAAUUCCAGGCUUAGUUAAGUAAUAAUUCCUAAUGAACUCUAAGAAGAUAUCCUUACAGUAGAGGACUUAAGACACCAGAGAUUC
rnacentral:lncRNA from 1 species